GACGAACGCUGGCGGCGUGCUUAACACAUGCAAGUCGAACGGUAAGGCCCUUCGGGGUACACGAGUGGCGAACGGGUGAGUAACACGUGGGUGAUCUGCCCUGCACUUCGGGAUAAGCCUGGGAAACUGGGUCUAAUACCGGAUAGGACCACUGCCUGCAUGGGUGGUGGUGGAAAGCUUUUGCGGUGUGGGAUGGGCCCGCGGCCUAUCAGCUUGUUGGUGGGGUGAUGGCCUACCAAGGCGACGACGGGUAGCCGGCCUGAGAGGGUGACCGGCCACACUGGGACUGAGAUACGGCCCAGACUCCUACGGGAGGCAGGAGUGGGGAAUAUUGCACAAUGGGCGCAAGCCUGAUGCAGCGACGCCGCGUGAGGGGUGACGGCCUUCGGGUUGUAAACCUCUUUCAGCACCGACGAAGCGCAAGUGACGGUAGGUGCAGAAGAAGGACCGGCCAACUACGUGCCAGCAGCCGCGGUAA
rnacentral:rRNA from 1 species